ACCCUAACGCUAGCGUCCCGGCGCCGCGCAUCUAGAUGGGCAGUAGCACGGUUUCACUUCACUCUCUUCCAUAGUGGAAACACGAUAUGGCAGCUUUGUCGUGGACUGGACCUACGAUUAGAGUUCGCGUCAGCCGCUGCAGGUAGUGAGACACGACAGAACUUCCGUGUCAAUUUGAUGUUAAGUAAAGGAAGCGCAUAUUUCUUGGCCGUUCACAUUUAUUGUGAAUGCCACUGGAGAGAGGAUUUCAGUGUAUUUAAUUCGAAUUACUUCGGAAGCCUGUUGAAGUGACUUAUACCAUUAUGCCACAAUCUCAGCUGAUCAAGCGACUUGAAUCUGAAGCUAAUGGAACACGUCCCUUCAUCAACCUGAGUGCAUCAACACACAGCCCACUGGAUCCAAGUACUGAUCAGGACAACACUAUCACUUUCCUGAUUGGAUUUGGUAUCUUGGUUCUCUUCAUGCUGGCUGGUAUCAUGGCCAGUGUGUUCUUGUGCAUAACCUUGAAGAAAGACCCAUAUCUUUGGGAAGUAGUGUUUGAUGGUGGACCAGCACCAUCUGAAGGACAACAGCCAUGUCAGGAACCUCAGUCAACUGAUGUAGCAGUAUGGGAAGAAAAAGAAUCACCUGCACCAUCAACACCUAAUUGUAAUAAGAAAUUCAAUGCUGACAGUAGCUUCUGCUGUAAUAAUAUUUCAGUUGAAAGUUAUAUUAUAGAGUGUCACAGAAAUGAAGAUGCUGUUCUAUAACAGAAACUGAAAGUCUGAACCAUAUUUCCUUUAUAUCAGACAUGUCAAAUAUGUUGUUCUGUUAAUACAAAUAUUUUGUCCUCAACAAAACAUACUUUAAACACUCUGUUGUUUGGAUUUCUAACAGGAUUGCAUGAAUGUAUGCAAUGAUUGGUUCAGAUGGUGUGAAGGCUUGAAGAGGAAUUAUGCAUGUCAUCAUGUCUCAGGUUUCACCUGUUACCUCAAAGCAGUAUUUUGAAAGGAAAACACUGAAGUGAAAGUAGGGAGAUGAUAAAUUUUGUUAGCCCUAUGUAUGUCAUUGGUAAUAUUUCCCAUUUUGAGGUUUUGAAGCAGACUCACAUAUUCUUUAUUACAUAUGUAUUAUUAUGACAAUUCUGUAAUAUUUUAUACUUUUACAUGAUAUUUGUGUGGUAAAGCAGCUCGAUCUUGUUCCAGGAAACCCUUGUGUUGUAACAAUGAGUGCAAAAAAUCAGUUCAAUUGCACAUCUAAAAACACACUUCAUUUUUUCCUCUUGAAUAUUCAUGAUGUAAUAAACAACUCAAUACAAAAAAAAUUAGAACUGUUCUAUCACAUGUAACACUGCAUAAAUUGCAAUUUGUUAUGCCAUCUUUUCUUCACAUAUUUUCAUACUGUAAUCUGUUUCAAAACCCACAUGACACCAAAUUUCAUCAAAAUCUGGUAAGACAUUAAAAAAACUAGAUAUUCAGACAGAUUAACAGUUUGUCAGACAUAAAUCUCCCCAAAAUUGAAAUAUUUUUCACCUUUUUUUUCUCCUUAGAGUAGAAGUCCAAUUUUCACAAACAAGUGUAAAAGAACAGGAAAAGUACAAUGGUAUUUAAUUAAAAGUUUGGUUUCCUUAAGCAGAAAGUAGAAAAAAUAUACAUUCUGUGAUAAUAUCUUUCAUGUUCUUCCAGAAAUGAUAACAUUAACUCAUCCCUAAAUUUUCAGAAUAUUCUUAACCCACACAAAAUAUUUUGCUUAUUAGGUAGUACUGUAUGUCUCUAUUGAAAUGAGGUCUGUCAUACAGCAAUCUAUAGCUACUUUCCAUAGAUGCUGAAAGUGAAAACAGUUCUCAUGUUGAAACCUGGUCUGAUAUGAGAGAGCUGUAAGAACAAUUUCUUAUGUCCUAUAUAUGAAUAUAACCGUGUGUGGCCGAAAUACGUUAUGAA